UACGGAGGAUGCAAGCGUUAUCCGGAAUUAUUGGGCGUAAAGCGUCCGCAGGUGGCACUUCAAGUCUGUCGUCAAAGACCGGGGCUUAACCCUGGAAAGGCGAUGGAAACUGAAAGGCUAGAGAGAGGUAGGGGUAGAGGGAAUUCCCAGUGUAGCGGUGAAAUGCGUAGAGAUUGGGAAGAACACCGGUGGCGAAAGCGCCUUGCUGGGUCUGCACUGACACUGAGGGACGAAAGCUAGGGGAGCGAAUGGG
rnacentral:rRNA from 1 species